rnacentral:rRNA from 1 species
AGUUCGAUUAUGGCUCAGGAUUGAACGCUGGCGGAUGUUUACACAUGCAAGUCGAACGGCAGCACGGACUUCGGUCUGGUGGCGAGUGGCGAACGGGUGAGUAAUGUAUCGGAACGUGCCUAGUAGCGGGGGAUAACUACGCCGAAAGCGUAGCUAAUACCGCAUACGCCCUUCGGGGAAAGCGGGGGACCUUCUUCGGGCCUCGCACUAUUAGAGCGGCCGAUAUCGGAUUAGCUAGUUGGUGGGGUAACGGCUCACCAAGGCGACGAUCCGUAGCUGGUUUGAGAGGACGACCAGCCACACUGGGACUUGAGACACGGCCCAGACUUUGGCUGGAGGCAGCAGUGGAAUUCUGACAAUGGGGAAACUCCGAUCCAGCCAUCCCGCGUGUGCGAUGAAGGCCUUCGGGUUGUAAAGCACUUUUGGCAGGAAAGAAACGGCACGGGAUAACAAUACCCCGUGCAACUGACGGUACCUGCAGAAUAAGCACCGGCUAACUACGUGCCAGCAGCCGCGGUAAUACGUAGGGUGCAAGCGUUAAUCGGAAUUACUGGGCGUAAAGCGUGCGCAGGCGGUUCGGAAAGAAAGAUGUGAAAUCCCAGAGCUUAACUUUUGGAACCGCAUUUUUAACUACCGAGCGAGUGCGUCAGGGAGGAGGUGAAUUCGCGUGUAGCAGUGAAAUGCGUAGAUAUGCGGAGGAACACCGAUGGCGAAGGCAGCUUCUGGGAUAACACUGACGCUCAUGCACGAAAGCGUGGGGAGCAAACAGGAUUAGAUAAUUUCGGGUAGUCCACGCCCUAAACGAUGUCAACUAGCUGUUGGGGCCUUCGGGCCUUGGUAGCGCAGCUAACGCGUGAAGUUGACCGCCUGGGGAGUACGGUCGCAAGAUUAAAACUCAAAGGAAUUGACGGGGACUCCGCACAAGCGGUGGAUGAUGUGGAUUAAUUGAUGCAACGCGAAAACCUUACCUACCCUUGACAUGUCUGGAAUCCUGAAGAGAUUUGGAGUGCUUCAAGAGAACCGGAACACAGGUGCUGCAUGGCUGUCGUCAGCUCGUGUCGUGAGAUGUUGGGUUAAGUCCCGCAACGAGCGGCAAAUCCCUGUCAUUAGUUGCUACGAAAGGGCACUCUAAUGAGACUGCCGGUGACAAACCGAGGAAGGUGGGGAUGACGUCAAGUCCUCAUGGCCCUUAUGGGUAGGGCUUCACACGUCAUACAAUGGUCGGGACAGAGGGUCGCCAACCCGCGAGGGGGAGCCAAUCCCAGAAACCCGAUCGUAGUCCGGAUCGCAGUCUGCAACUCGACUGCGUGAAGUCGGAAUCGCUAGUAAUCGCGGAUCAGCAUGUCGCGGUGAAUACGUUCCCGGGUCUUGUACACACCGCCCGUCACACCAUGGGAGUGGGUUUUACCAGAAGUAGUUAGCCUAACCGUAAGGAGGGCGAUUGACAGUAGGAUUCAUGACUGGGGUGAAGUCAAAUAAUAAGGUAA